rnacentral:rRNA from 1 species
AACACUAAUAACCAUUAAUAUUCAAUAACUUAGAAAAAUCAAAAACUUUCAACAACGGAUCUCUUGGUUCUCGCAUCGAUGAAGAACGCAGCGAAUUGCGAUACGUAUCAUGACUUGCAGACGUGAAUCAUCAAUCUUUGAACGCACAUUGCGCCUUGAGGUAUUCCUCAAGGCAUGCCUGUUUGAGCGUCGGCUCCCUUCAAACCCCCGGGUUUGGUGUUGCCUUCCGAAAUAUCACAGUUGUUGCAAUACGUUACUUCAACUUUAUUCUUUCGCCCUCAAAUCAGGUAGGACUACCCGCUGAACUUAAGCAUAUCAAUAAGCGGAGGAAAAGAAACCAACAGGGAUUGCCUCAGUAACGGCGAGUGAAGCGGCAAAAGCUCAAAUUUGAAAUCCUUCGGGAGUUGUAAUUUGUAGGUUGGGAGACCCCGCGGCUAGUGGCACCAAGUCCCUUGGAACAGGGCGCCUUAGAGGGUGAGAGCCCCGUAGGUACCACAACACCGUCUUGUGUCUCCUCUCCAAAGAGUCGAGUUGUUUGGGAAUGCAGCUCAAAGUGGGUGGUAAAUUCCAUCUAAAGCUAAAUACCGGCGAGAGACCGAUAGCGAACAAGUACAGUGAUGGAAAGAUGAAAAGCACUUUGAAAAGAGAGUGAAACAGUACGUGAAAUUGUUGAAAGGGAAGGGCUUGCAAGCAGACACGGCCUUCGUGCCGGGCCAGCAUCGGUUGCUAGGGGUGGAUAAGGAACAAGGAAUGUAGCUCCUCGGAGUAUUAUAGCCUUGCGCGAUACACCCACUGGCGACCGAGGCCUGCGGUAUUCUUUACCUAGGAUGCUGGCGUAAUGGUUGCAAGCCGCCCGUCUUGAAACACGGACC